rnacentral:rRNA from 1 species
UCGGGAAUUUUGGGCAAUGGGUGAGAGCCUGAUCCAGCCAUGCCGCGUGCAGGAAGAAGGCGUUAUGCGUUGUAAACUGCUUUUGCCAGGGGAUAAAAAGACCGUGCGCGGUUAAUUGAAGGUACCUGGUGAAUAAGCCACGGCUAACUACGUGCCAGCAGCCGCGGUAAUACGUAGGUGGCAAGCGUUGUCCGGAUUUAUUGGGUUUAAAGGGUGCGUAGGUGGCCCUGUAAGUCAGUGGUGAAAUAUCUCAGCUUAACUGAGAGGGUGCCAUUGAUACUGCAGGGCUUGAGUACAGAUGAGGUAGGCGGAAUUGACGGUGUAGCGGUGAAAUGCAUAGAUAUCGUCAAGAACACCGAUAGCGAAGGCAGCUUACCAAGCUGUAACUGACACUGAGGCACGAAAGUGUGGGGAUCAAACAGGAUUAGAUACCCCCGUAGUCCCUGAGCGGGCUGGCAAGGCGCAU